rnacentral:pre_miRNA from 1 species
AAUAAAUUAAUUUUUCACUUUUUAUCUUUAAUUUUUGAUUCUUCGUCUUAUUAAAUUUUUUAUUGAUAUUUUUGUUUUUAUUAGAUGAUAAAUCAUGAAUAUUACUUUACGUGUGACUAUUUUUUUUUUAAUUUUCUAAAUUUUUUUCAAAUAAAACGGAUGGUCAAACGUUGGAUACAGAAAUCGAAGAAUUCGUUUUUU